AUUGAACGCUGGCGGCAUGCCUUACACAUGCAAGUCGAACGGUAACAGGUCUUCGGAUGCUGACGAGUGGCAAACGGGUGAGUAAUACAUCGGAACGUGCCUAGUAGUGGGGGAUAACUACUCGAAAGAGUGGCUAAUACCGCUUGAGAUCUACGGAUGAAAGCAGGGGAUCGCAAGACUUUGCGCUACUAGAGCGGCCGAUGGCAGAUUAGGUAGUUGGUGGGAUAAAAGCUUACCAAGCCGACGAUCUGUAGCUGGUCUGAGAGGACGACCAGCCACACUGGGACUGAGACACGGCCCAGACUCCUACGGGAGGCAGCAGUGGGGAAUUUUGGACAAUGGGCGCAAGCCUGAUCCAGCAAUGCCGCGUGCAGGAUGAAGGCCUUCGGGUUGUAAACUGCUUUUGUACGGAACGAAAAGGCUCUGGUUAAUACCUGGGGCUCAUGACGGUACCGUAAGAAUAAGCACCGGCUAACUACGUGCCAGCAGCCGCAGUAAAAC
rnacentral:rRNA from 1 species